rnacentral:rRNA from 1 species
UACGUAGGGUGCGAGCGUUAAUCGGAAUUACUGGGCGUAAAGCGUGCGCAGGCGGUUUGGUAAGACAGGCGUGAAAUCCCCGGGCUCAACCCGGGAACUGCGCUUGUGACUGCCUCACUAGAGUACGGCAGAGGGGGGUGGAAUUCCGCGUGUAGCAGUGAAAUGCGUAGAUAUGUGGAGGAAUACCGAUGGCGAAGGCAGCCCCUGGGAUAACACUGACGCUCAUGCACGAAAGCGUGGGGAGCAAACAGGAUUAGAAA